UUGGCAAAAGCUAUACCAAAAAUUGGUUCACGUAAGAAAGUGCGUAUUGGUUUACGUAGGAAUGCACGUUUUAGUUUACGGAAGAGUGCACGUAGAAUAACAAAAGGGGUUAUUCAUGUUCAAGCUAGUUUCAACAAUACCAUUAUAACUGUUACAGACCCACAAGGUCGGGUGGUUUUUUGGUCCUCGGCCGGUACUUGUGGAUUCAAAAGCUCAAGAAAAGCAUCACCCUAUGCUGGUCAAAGAACAGCAGUAGAUGCUAUUCGUACAGUAGGUUUGCAACGAGCAGAAGUUAUGGUAAAGGGCGCUGGUAGUGGAAGAGAUGCCGCAUUACGAGCCAUUGCUAAAAGUGGUGUGCGAUUAAGUUGUAUACGCGAUGUAACACCUAUGCCGCAUAAUGGAUGUCGACCGCCUAAAAAAGACGUCUGUAAAAGAAUUAACCCGCUUUCAACUUUCAUUUCAAGAGAAAUAAACGAUUCAAUGAUAAAAUAA
rnacentral:rRNA from 1 species